ensembl:lncRNA
CAGCGACGCCGUGACCUCCGCCCCUCUCGCUCGUCUCCGGCGCGGCGGCGCCCCCUUGCGGCCCGGAGUUGAUAUGCCGACCGAAGGCGUCUGCUCCGCUCCGCCCGCCACAGGAGCGCGCCGCCGCGCCAGCAGCAGAGGGACGAGGGCGGAUGGCAGCGGAGCGUCUGGGACUCCGUCAGUCCGCCCGGGCGCUGCAUCCCCCGGGAGCUGUCAGUUUCGUUGUCGGUUUGUUCUCACAGAACCAAAGAUCUGUUUCCCUCUUCCUCGGGAGAUCUGUAAAUGCCUCAUGCCGGCACGCCGCGAUCCCAGAAACGGGCAAGCACGCUUCGUUCUUCUGCAGCUUUCAGAUCAGCCCCUUCGGAGAAUUACUAACCGGCCGCUCUCUGGAGACGUGAGCUGCGCGCGUUACUGCAAGGCGCCCCUCCGCGGGGCAGCAGCCUCAGCGCAGCGCCUCAGCCCGCCGCCAGUGCCACCGCGCCCCUCGGGCCCGCUCCACUCCGGUGAAGAAGGACGCUCUCUGUGGACGCCCAGCGAUUGCCAUUAAAGGCUGAACCAAAACACCAGAUUUAUCUGAUGAAAUAUCUGUGAACUCGGUCCAGUGUUCUAUAGGGAAGGCCAGUCUGUAACAACAAAGAAACACGUAAGACCCUUUUAAGGGAAAAGGACACAAAGCCGACACAGGAAAUAUGGAACAGAAUUACCUGAAAGUACAGCUUAAGAGCUGAUGAGAACAAACUCCAUUUGCAGACAUUAGCUAACGCCAUAACCUACCUGUUCCUUUCUGUGUGUAUCUCAGCAGCUGCAUUUCAAAAGUAAUUAAAGUUAAUGAGCUGUGCUUUGUGGCAGGACCGUGGAAACUUAAUUGACAUAAUUAGUUGUGAGAUAGCAAGUGCAUCUUCCUGGAUAACAACGUGUCAUCAUCUGAUAAGAAUAAUAACGCACUUAACAAAUAAAUCAGGGCCCUUCUAAUACGUUAGUAAAAUAAUGAAGCAGAAGUGGCACAUAUGUGCAAAUGAUGAAUUAUUAGUCUGGAGACUGCACACAUUGUGUGAAUAAGAUGGAUGUGGAAGUGGCCUUUCUCAAAGCGUCGGCUAUGGCUAAAAUCCCGUUCCCAGCAGGCAAAACAGCCACACCGCCCUUCAGGGAGGACGUGCUCGGAACCCUUCCAGCGCAGGCCGUCCGCCCUCCGCAGAGCAGGAAAUGCAGUGGCUGAAGAAAAGCAGCUUAUUUCCCUCCUUAAUCCCUCCGCAUUGUGGGCGCUAGGAAGUCUUUUGUGAUUUAUAUUCUUCUGCCACUGUGGCUGAUAACUUCUUUUCUUUCAGGCCUCGAGGAAAAGGAUUCUUUUAUCUUCCACAACAAGUAAGUGCAUGUAUAUAUUUUUUUCAAGCAAGAGUAGGAUCUCCUAAGUAUUCACUGCUAUUUAUCACAUCACUGAGAGAGCAGGAUACCUCUGCUAGAACCGUGUGAACAUACGUUAUUUGGUGAUUAGAUCUGGAAGUUGGAAUGUAGUCAAACAAACCAGUAGAAUAACACAAUAUAUGCCCUGGAAGUGACAAUCUAUUC